UUUGGUGGCGAUAGCGAAGAGGUCACACCCGUUCCCAUUCCGAACACGGCAGUUAAGCUCUUCAGCGCCGAUGGUAGUUGGGGGUCUCCCCCUGUGAGAGUAGGACGCCGCCAAGC
rnacentral:rRNA from 8 species